GACGUAGGGCGCGAGCGUUGUCCGGAAUCAUUGGGCGUAAAGAGCGUGUAGGCGGUCCGGUCAGUCGGUUGUGAAAGUCAAGGGCUCAACCCUUGAAUGCCGGCCGAUACUGCCGGGCUAGAGUCCGGAAGAGGUGAGUGGAAUUCCUGGUGUAGCGGUGAAAUGCGCAGAUAUCAGGAGGAACACCGAUGGCGAAGGCAGCUCACUGGGACGGUACUGACGCUGAGACGCGAAAGCGUGGGGAGCAAACAGG
rnacentral:rRNA from 1 species